CUUCACCAUCCUCCUACUGAAAUAGUUUUUCCUAAAAUCCAGCCGAGCCCUCCCCAUUGCUCCUUGUCCUGUCAUCUGCCACAACUGAUAACAGCUUGGUUUCAUUCAUUUGCUUUGGAACCCUCUUUCAGGUAAUUUGAAGGCUCAGAUCUUCCUCACUCAUCUCUUUUGCAGACUGAAUUAGCCCAGUUCCCUCAGCCUCUCGUCAUAAAUCCUGUGUUUCAGCCCCCUAAACAUUUUCAUUGUCCUCUGCUGGACUCGCUCCAAUUUGUCCACAUCCUUUCUGUAAUAUGGGGGCCCAAAACUGGAUACGAUUCUCCAGAUGUGGCCUCACCAGUGCCAAAUAGAAGAGAAUAAUCAUGUCCGUUGAUCUGCUGAUACUGCUCCUAGUUAUUGCAGCCCAAUAUGCCAUUCACCUUCUUGGCAACAAGGGCACACUGUUGACUCAUAUCCAACUUCUCAUCCGUGUAAUUCCUAGGUCCUUUUCUGCAAAACUGCCAUUUAGCCAGUCAGUCCCUAGCCUGUAGCUGUGCAUGUGAUUCUUUCAUCCGUUUUGAAAAUGCUUCAUGGCAGCCCUGUACAAAAGUUCAUUUUUUAUCCUUCUAAAAUUGUUAAUUUUGUCUUUUUCUAAAUGAGAUUGAUGCCUUCCAGCCAAAAUGCUUUCAUGUCUUUGUCAGCGGCGAGCAAGAAACGUCUUGCAGUAUUUGAAGCAAAGUCUAAUUAUUUCUAGGUUAAAACUGCAACAUUACUAUUGUCUCUUCUUUGUACAUUCAAAUGGAAGCUACAAUGGAAGAACUCAGAUUGUUGAUUUACAGGUCUUCAGAGAUGGCAUAGUGAUCUGUAAUAUACUGCAUCCUUGCUAUAUAGACCAGUCUGGGAAAAGACUGUGUUAUAGGAAUGUCACCAUGUCUGUUUUGGUCCUCAGGUGAAAGUGAUUUGGUGACUGGAGAAUGAUAUUUUACUGAUGGAAACAGAGCACAUCCUCAACUAUCCCUAAGCAAUGGGCCAAUGACAUGGACUUGGAAAAAGCUGGUUGUCAAAAAAAAAAAAAAAA